rnacentral:rRNA from 1 species
AGCAGCCGCGGUAAUUCCAGCUCCAAUAGCGUAUAUUAAAGUUGUUGCAGUUAAAAAGCUCGUAGUUGAAUUUCGAGAUCGGCUUACUGGUCGUGCUUUUGUACGUACUGGUAUAAUCGGUUUCUCCUUUCUGACGAACUAUAAUGCCAUUAAUUUGGUGUUAUAGGGAAUCAGGACUGUUACUUUGAAAAAAUUAGAGUGUUUAAAGCAGGCUCACGCUUGAAUACAUUAGCAUGGAAUAACGGAAUAGGACGUUUGAUUCUAUUUUGUUGGUUUCUAGGAUCGACGUAAUGAUUAAUAGGGAUAGUUGGGGGCAUUAGUAUUCAAUUGUCAGAGGUGAAAUUCUUGGAUUUAUUGAAGACUAACUACUGCGAAAGCAUUUGCCAAGGAUGUUUUCAUUAAUCAAGAACGAAAGUUAGGGGAUCGAAGACGAUCAGAUACCGUCGUAGUCUUAACCAUAAACUAUGCCGACUAGGGAUCGGAUGAUGUUAAUUUUUUAAUGACUCA